rnacentral:snRNA from 1 species
AUUGUUAUUAAGUGACGUCCUAU